rnacentral:rRNA from 1 species
AGUGAACGCUGGCGGUAGGCCUAACACAUGCAAGUCGAACGGCAGCACAGUAAGAGCUUGCUCUUACGGGUGGCGAGUGGCGGACGGGUGAGGAAUACAUCGGAAUCUACUUUUUCUUGGGGGAUAACGUAGGGAAACUUACGCUAAUACCGCAUACUACCUACGGGUGAAAGCAGGGGAUCUUCGGACCUUGCGCGAUUGAAUGAGCCGAUGUCGGAUUAGCUAGUUGGCUGGGUAAAGGCCCACCAAGGCGACGAUCCGUAGCUGGUCUGAGAGGAUGAUCAGCCACACUGGAACUGAGACACGGUCCAGACUCCUACGGGAGGCAGCAGUGGGGAAUCUUGGACAAUGGGCGCAAGCCUGAUCCAGCCAUACCGCGUGGGUGAAGAAGGCCUUCGAGUUGUAAAGCCCUUUUGUUGGGAAAGAAAAGCAGCAGGUUAAUACCCCGCUGUUCUGACGGUACCCAAAGAAUAAGCACCGGCUAACUUCGUG